UACGUAGGGUGCAAGCGUUAAUCGGAAUUACUGGGCGUAAAGCGUGCGCAGGCGGCUUUGCAAGACAGAUGUGAAAUCCCCGGGCUUAACCUGGGAACUGCAUUUGUGACUGCAUGGCUGGAGUGCGGCAGAGGGGGAUGGAAUUCCGCGUGUAGCAGUGAAAUGCGUAGAUAUCGGAAGGAACAUCAGUGGCGAAAGCGACUUCCUGGACCAGUACCGACGUUCAGGCACGAAAGCGUGGGGAGCAAACAGG
rnacentral:rRNA from 1 species